rnacentral:piRNA from 1 species
UCCCAGUCUUGAGCAGCACUGUUUCUGCAGC